AUGGCGAGCCUCGAGAAGUCCAUCAAGCUGAUGAAGUCGGCGGACGAGCACUUCCUCCGGACUUUCAUAAUGCUCGUGCUCUCGUCGUUCCUCUGCCCGACCAGCAGCCUGAAGAUCAGCCCCCGGUGCUUCCCCGCGCUGGUGAACAUCGGGUCCAUCAGGGAGCUCAACUGGUGCAAAUUCGUUGUGGAGCAGCUGGAGAAGUGCGUUUCUUCCCUCGGCAAGAAGAACAGCGCAGGGGGCUGCCUUUUCUAUCUUGUGAUUCUGUACCUAGACUCGCUUGAUGUCCGUGGCAUGGAGAUACCUGACGGCACGCCGAGAGUAUCUGCGUGGGACAGGAAGCUGAUGGACAAAGUCAUCGAGAUGGACAUGAAGAACAAUUGUUCUUUCGGAAAAUGCUUCGUAAGUUCUUCUCUUGGAGUUUUUCUUCUGUAA
rnacentral:rRNA from 1 species